rnacentral:rRNA from 1 species
UACGUAGGUGGCAAGCGUUGUCCGGAUUUAUUGGGCGUAAAGCGCGCGCAGGCGGUUCUUUAAGUCUGAUGUGAAAUCUUGCGGCUUAACCGCAAGCGGUCAUUGGAAACUGGGGAACUUGAGUACAGAAGAGGAAAGUGGAAUUCCACGUGUAGCGGUGAAAUGCGUAGAGAUGUGGAGGAACACCAGUGGCGAAGGCGGCUCACUGGAUCGGUACUGACGCUGAGGUGCGAAAGCGUGGGGAGCAAACAGG